ACCGUUAGUCUUGGGGGCAGCUGGAGGUUGGCUGAUCCAGGCUGGUGCACUCAUGCACCUGCAGGUCGGCUGGGGGUCAGCUCAAGGCUGGGCUCGGCCGGCACACGGUAGCUGGGCAGCUCUGCUCCACGUGUAUCUCUUGUCCUUCUCCUGGGACCAACAGACCAGGCCGGGCAUGAACUUCUCGUGGCGAUGACAGGAGCACAAAUGAGUAGGUAGAAAUAGGCCAGGCCUCUGGAGGCCAAGGACUGGAACUGAUGCACAGUCUCUCCUACCCACCUCUUCUAUCGGCCAAACGUGUCACAUUGCGGGGAGGGAAAUAUACUCUACAGUUUUGGGAAAUCAAAGUCACGUGAGAAGGGCGGGGUUACAAGGGAAGAAUUAGGGCCAGGAAUGCAAUUGAUCUGUUCUAUUGAUUAUCAUCAUUGCUGUUUAUAUUUAAAUGCAGAAUUUGAAUCAAAAUCUUCCGGCACGGGGCUGGAGGAUCUCCACCUUGCGAACUUUUCCUGGUGAACCCGACACAGCUGGUCUGGCUGAGGGGCUCCUAGUCCACUUUCACAAUCAGCAGGUCAUAAGGAUCAUCUGUGGCUCUGAUGAAAAAGCCAGACUCCUAGGCUGCUUCCCCGGAGAUUUCAGACGCCGAUUCUUAACCAAACAUCUUGCACCCAAAACUCCAGCUCAGAAUCUCCUCCAGGAGAACCCAACCUGCAACAGGACUCAAAAGCAACCAUGGUGGUGUGGAGAGGGGGCUUCAGCCGUGGCAAUUAACUUUGCUAAGGGGCGCACACGGGCGAAGGGAGGCGUGCAUCACAUGAAAUCAUGCUCCUAAGGAAGCCUUGGCCGACUCAAGCGCGGUAGACACCUAAACAUUUAAAUCACCUUUUCCUAUUGAUUAAGGUGGACAUCAUGUCUCCAUGAAGCACAAAAAUGGUCCUAACCAGGAUUAUACUGCUCGUCUCUAGCAAGUAGAGGAAGCCAGGAUUCAUAUCCAUGAGCUUUGGUGCCAGAACACGUUUCUAACCACUAUACCAGACUUGAACACCGUCGCGAAAUGUGCUUCUCUUUCCAGCUUACUAAGAAUGUCAUGUCGAAUUUUAUCAAGUUCCUUUUUAGCAUCUAUUGAAAUGAUUGGAUAGUAUUAUCCUUUGAUUUAUUGAUGGAAAAUUUU
rnacentral:lncRNA from 1 species